CGACCGGCGCACGGGUGAGUAACACGUAUCCAACCUGCCGUCCACUCUUGGACAGCCUUCUGAAAGGAAGAUUAAUACAAGAUGGCAUCAUGAGUCCGCAUGUUCACAUGAUUAAAGGUAUUCCGGUAGACGAUGGGGAUGCGUUCCAUUAGAUAGUAGGCGGGGUAACGGCCCACCUAGUCUUCGAUGGGUAGGGGUUCUGAGAGGAAGGUCCCCCACAUUGGAACUGAGACACGGUCCAAACUCCUACGGGAGGCAGCAUG
rnacentral:rRNA from 1 species